CACGUAGGCACCAAGCGUUGUCCGGAAUUAUUGGGCGUAAAGAGCUCGUAGGCGGUCUGUCGCGUCGAUCGUGAAAACCUGGGGCUAACCCCGGCUGCGAACGAUGCGGCGACUGAGAUUCGGUAGGGGAGACUGGAAUUCCUGGUGUAGCGGUGGAAAUGCGCAGAUAUCAGGAGGAACACCGGUGGCGAAGGCGGGUCUCUGGGCCGAGUGACGCGUGGAG
rnacentral:rRNA from 1 species